rnacentral:rRNA from 1 species
AUACAGGGGGUGCGAGCGUUAAUCGGAAUUACUGGGCGUAAAGAGUACGUAGGCGGUUGCUUAAGUCAGAUGUGAAAGCCCCGGGCUCAACCUGGGAACUGCAUUUGAAACUGAGUGACUAGAGUUUAAGAGAGGGGAGUAGAAUUCCGGGUGUAGCGGUGAAAUGCGUAGAGAUCCGGAGGAAUACCAGUGGCGAAGGCGGCUCCCUGGCUUAAAACUGACGCUGAGGUACGAAAGCGUGGGUAGCAAACAGGAUUAGAUACCCCUGUAGUCC